rnacentral:tRNA from 1 species
UGCCCGCUGGUGCAACUGGUAGCACGCUCGGUUUUGGUCCGGGUAGAUCGAGGUUCGAAUCCUCGGCGGGCAG